AGAACGACAUGGAGUUGGCUCAGUUCCAUAACAAUGCCAGAGGAUACCGUUCUAUGUCUGAGAAGGUUCUGGAAGGUUCUGGCCACGUUCCCCACCAUGUACGACUACGUCAGCUAUAGGACAGUGGUGAAAAGGUUUGAAACCCAUUACCUGUCUGAGGGGACUCUGGGCGAACUCUUCCACGCCUUACUCAGCAUCGACAAGAAACAGAGAAACUGUAACGGUUCUCGUCCUCUUCGUCUGAGGAAUAGCAAGGAUCGGACCAAUACGCAGCGUGAUGAGGCCUCUGUAUGAGCUGGUAAAGGAGGUGCAGUGUGCUGGCGUGAAUAGGCUCCAUCUGAAGACGGCCAUAGAGCAGUACCUGAAUGAAAGGCACCCUUGCUUCUGCCAGCCCUGUAAGAACAUCAGCCUGGUGGUGAUAGAGGGGGAUGAGUGUAAAUACAUCUGUAAACCUGGUACAGACUGGCCUGUGAGAAGGGAAAGGAGGUAGAGGGUAGGUAACAUUUUACAUGUCGUGUGGAUACUCCAGAUGACGGUAUUUGUGUAUUUAUUUCUGGGUGCUUGCAGACAUACUGUACAUUCACAUACAGAUAUAUGCAUAACCUCUCUCUCCAUCCUUCCUUUCACUCUCCUUGUUUCGUUCACCACAACCCAACAUUCAACCAUUAUUUCCCUCCCUCCCUAAUGGCUGAUCCAUGGCAGCUGGUCCUGCUGGUCUGGCUAGACUUACUGCUCUGUAAGUCAGAGGUCACGAACCCGCACAUGCAGUACUCAUGCCCCUCAGAGAGGCUGCCAUCACUGCAACGGGGAGGCCAGGGUGACGACAGGCUGCCAUAGCAACCGAGACAUGCAAUACAUCCUGUCAGAAUUAUUGCAGCUUCUGUUGACUUUAGUGAUAAGACUUUAUACAUGAACACAACACAACAAAUACAUGAAAUGGACUGUAUACAUAGCACCUUCACAAAGUACUUCUGCAGGCCAAAGUGCUAAUCAGGCAAGCGCUAACAAAGACAGUGUUGGAAAAGCAUGGCAGGAGCAACACAUUGCUGUCUUCUAUUAAUUCAGCCUUCAUAUUACCCUGCUGUUACCUUACUGAACGUCCGUUUGGUGUACGCCUGUUUGUUUGUUUGUUUACUUGUUUGUUUGUUUACUUCCAGGACCAUGGAGCCUCAGUGCUUUGCCCUGACCCUCUCACCUCGAGAGACCUGAGGAAGCACACCUCCUCUCCCUAAUGGCUAUGUCGUGGUGUCAUGUCCCAUCCCUUCAAAAUGAUGUCACAGUCUCCCACUUAUGACAUAGGAGAAAUGAUCCCUCUAUCCUACCCUGAGGGGAGACACAUAGUGGGAGACAUAGAGAUCCUCUGGGUCACCGGACCCCAAUACCAUCACAUACUAUCACCAGGCACCAAAAACGCUCAAUCCCCUUGAUGGCCCAGCAGUGCAAUGCAAACCAUGGGAGAAACUCGCAGAAAACGAAUGGAUCUGUAAAAUGGCUUAUGAUUGCGCAUCAUCUCAAGAAGUGUGUGCCACCAACUCUGAGAGGGGUCGGAAAGACAGACUGAGCGUGUGCGAGAUACACACCCUGCAGUGUGCUACAACUUGACAGAGGACAGCACCUGCCAGUGGCCAACCCACACAACUUCACCCUAAACUGAGUGACUGCCAGCUGUGGGAGACCUGUGAUGGUACAACUCAACACUUCAGUUUUUUUGUGUGUGUGCUUACAUGGGCACGCGCGUGCGAAUGAGCGUGUGUGUGUGUGUUUGCGUGUGUGUGUGCAAACUGCACCAGAUCUCAAGGACAUUUUCCUUGUCCUAUUUUCCUUGUCUCAUUCCAACAGGACAAACAAACAGGUGUCGCUGUGAGGACAGGGUUGAGUGCUCAGACCCAGGGUUGAGUCUGUGUGUCCGUCUAGGGACUGAGGCUGACAGUGCUACCCAGACGCUGAGCGAGUGUGAGGCAGGACUGAGGAGAUGUAAAUGGGAGAAGGUGUCCGUUGGCAGCAGACUGCCCUGUGGCGCCUAAGGACACAAGAGAAUGGUCUCCUCUCCUCCGACUCAGCAUGUCUGUGAUAAUGACAGAAAAUACCCUCCACUCAUUUUGUCUCAUCUCUGUUAAUUUUACAUGACUCUUCAAACGCACUGCUUCAAAGACAUUAAAGCAAUAUAAAUCA